UACGUAGGGGGCAAGCGUUGUCCGGAUUUAUUGGGCGUAAAGAGCGUGUAGGCGGCCAGGUAGGUCCGUUGUGAAAACUCGAGGCUCAACCUCGAGACGUCGAUGGAAACCAUCUGGCUAGAGUCCGGAAGAGGAGAGUGGAAUUCCUGGUGUAGCGGUGAAAUGCGCAGAUAUUAGGAAGAACACCCGUGGCGAAGGCGGCUCUCUGGGACGGUACUGACGCUGAGACGCGAAAGCGUGGGGAGCGAACAGG
rnacentral:rRNA from 1 species